AUUUACAUAUAUUUCUUAAGGACAUGGCUGGUGACUAUUCGUAAUUUGUCCCAGAACCUGACAUGGGGUGGCUGGUGGUACUGUUUAUGGAGAUGGGGGAAUAUAAGAGAAGGAGCAGUUCUAAGGGAAAAGAUAAUGGGUUCAGUUUUCACAUUAACUUGAAGUACCUGUGGGACACAUAUCCAAGCAAAAAUUUUCAUUAUGCCUCUGAAGGAGAAAGAUUGAGAGUGAAGAUAAAUAUUUGAAAGUUACCAGUUUGUAGAUAGGUGAUAGCUGAAGCUGUUGUAGAUAAAAUCACCUAGGGACAGUAUAUAGAGUUAGAAGAAAAGUUGGCCAAAGACAGUACUGUGUCGUGCCAGCUUCCAAGGUUCAUAUGGAAGAAAAGGAAGUUUAAAGGAGACCCAGAAAGAAUGCUUAAAAAGUAGCAGGAAA